AUUGAACGCUGGCGGCAGGCCUAACACAUGCAAGUCGAGCGAGCGGCGGAAGGGUGAGUAAUGUCUGGGAAACUGCCGGAUGGAGGGGGAUAACUACUGGAAACGGUAGGUAAUACCGCAUACAAUCAGAUGUGCCCAGCUGGUCUUAGCUAGUAGGUGGGGUAACGGCUCACCUAGGCGACGAUCCCUAGCUGGUCUGCGAGGAUGACCAGCCACACUGGAACUGAGACACGGGCCAGACGCCUACGGGAGGGAGCAGUGGGGAUUAUUGCGCAAUGGGCGCAAGCCUGAUGCAGCCAUGCCGCGUGUGUGAAGAAGGCCUUCGGGUUGUAAAGCACUUUCAGCGGGAAGGCGUUACCCGCAGAAGAAGCACCGGCUAACUCCGUGCCAGCAGCCGCGGUAAUAC
rnacentral:rRNA from 1 species